rnacentral:sRNA from 1 species
UAUUGCUGGUAUGUGCGACGACUAAUA